CAUGCAUAUCACAGAGUGCAUAGCAGAUUACAAAAUAUAAUGUUACAAAAUCAUUGAUCGACUACAGUUAAGACGGUUAAUUCUAGCACAUUUUUGCGCAUUCUGAAUAAUUUUCCUUAUAUUUUAAAAAUUUGAAAGGAAAUGGCCGCAGUAACGCCAUCUAUAAUGAGCGUCCAAGAAAGAUAGCUCUGAGGACGUCGAAAUUUGUAAAUAAAUUCAGCAGCGGUGUAAUAUAAAACUUAAUUUAAAAAUUUGUGUUGUUAUUUACAAUGCCACAGUAAUAUAAACUUUCGUUUAUGGACGAUAUGGGAGAUGAGAAUUUAUGUCGUCUUUGUGCUGUGAAGAAAGAUUACUUUGUAGGAAUUUAUGAUGAUGAAGGCCACAAAUUGAGCCUGGAAACAAAAAUUACAAAAUGUUUGCAGAUAGAGCUGUAUCCCAAGGAUUCACUGCCCAAGACAGUUUGUCUGGAUUGCUGUGCUAAAUUAGAUCAGUUCUCCGACUUCUUUGAGACAACUUCACAAGCACAGGUUACACUUCAUAUGAUUUAUCCUGGUGCAAAGAAAGAAGAGGAGGUAGAUAUAGAGGAAGACAGACCUAAACCUGAGCAUGAAUCAGAUCAUGAUUGCAGUUCAUUCUUGGAAGAAGAAGCAAGUGUAGAUCCAGGCCCUCCAGUGCUGGUUGAAUGUGUACUGUCUGACACACAGGGAGCAGGUGGUGAACAAAUAACAUUCUGAAGUAAAAGUCUCUGCUGUCCUCAUCCAGACAUGUUAGCAUUAAAACAAGUGAUUCAUGCAGUACUUCUAAGAAGCUUUGGUUAAGCAGCUUUCAGGUCAUCACUGCUGUAUGGAAAUCAUUUAUGCUGAUGCCUGAAUGGAAAUUGUAAGGUGAUAGAUAACAGCUGACACUUUUCAGG